rnacentral:tRNA from 1 species
CGGGAAAUAGCUCAGUUGGUAGAGCGUACGUUCGGGACGUAGAGGUCGCGCGUUCGAAUCGCGUUUUCCCGA